rnacentral:rRNA from 1 species
CAAGCGUUAUCGGAUUUAUUGGGUUUAAGGGUCCGUAUGCGGCUUUUUAAGUCAGUGGUGAAAUCCCAUAACUCAACUCUGGAACUGCCAUUGAAACUGAAGAGCUUGAAUAUGGUUGAGGUAGGCGGAAUACGUUAUGUAGCGGUGAAAUGCAUAGAUAUAACGUAUAACACCAAUUGCGAAGGCAGCUUACUAAACCAUUAUUGACGCUGAUGGACGAAAGCGUGGGGAGCGAACAGGAUUAGAUACCCUGGUUAGUCCACGCCGUAAACGAUGAUUACUCGUUGUGCACAAUACACCGUGCGUGACUGAGCGAAAGCAUUAAGUAAUCCACCUGGGGAGUGCGUUCGCAAGAAUGAAACUCAAAGGAAUUGACGGGGGCCCGCACAAGCGGAGGAACAUGUGGUUUAAUUCGAUGAUACGCGAGGAACCUUACCUGGACUUAAAUGUAGAUUGACCGGUUUAGAAAUAGAUCUUCCCUUCGGGGCAAUUUACAAGGUGCUGCAUGGUUGUCGUCAGCUCGUGCCGUGAGGUGUCGGGUUAAGUCCCAUAACGAGCGCAACCCUUAUCGUUAGUUGCCAGCGGGUCAAGCCGGGGACUCUAGCGAGACUGCCACCGUAAGGUGAGAGGAAGGUGGGGAUGACGUCAAAUCAGCACGGCCCUUAUGUCCAGGGCUACACACGUGUUACAAUGGUCGGUACAAAGGGCAGCUACUUGGUGACAAGAUGCUAAUCCCUAAAGCCGAUCCCAGUUCGGAUUGGAGUCUGCAACCCGACUCCAUGAAGUUGGAUUCGCUAGUAAUCGGAUAUCAGCCAUGAUCCGGUGAAUACGUUACCCGGGCCUUGUACACACCGCCCGUCAAACCAUGGGAGCUGGGGGUGCCUGAAGUCUGCCACCGUAAGGAGCGGGUAGGGUAAACUA